rnacentral:rRNA from 1 species
CAAGUCGAACGGGACCCGCAAGGGUUCAGUGGCGGACGGGUGCGUAACACGUGAGGAACAUGUCCUUCGGCGGGGAAUAGCCGGCCUAACGGCCGGGUAAUACCGCGUACGACCUUCGGGUGGCAUCACCUGGAGGUGAAAGCAGCAAUGCGCCGAUGGAGUGCCUCGCGGCCUAUCAGCUAGUUGGUGAGGUAACGGCUCACCAAGGCGACGACGGGUAGCUGGUCUGAGAGGAUGAUCAGCCACAUUGGGACUGAGACACGGCCCAGACUCCUACGGGAGGCAGCAGUGGGGAAUAUUGCGCAAUGGGCGAAAGCCUGACGCAGCGACGCCGCGUGUGGGAUGAAGGUCUUCGGAUUGUAAACCACUGUCGGGAGGGACGAAUGCGCCGCAAGGCGAGUGACGGUACCUCCAAAGGAAGCACCGGCUAACUCUGUGCCAGCAGCCGCGGUAAUACAGAGGGUGCGAGCGUUGUCCGGAAUCACUGGGCGUAAAGGGCGCGUAGGCGGCUUGGUAAGUAGGGGGUGAAAUCUUGCGGCUCAACUGCAAGGCUGCCUCCUAAACUGCCUGGCUGGAGCACGGUAGAGGCAGAUGGAAUUCCCGGUGUAGCGGUGGAAUGCGUAGAGAUCGGGAAGAACAUCGGUGGCGAAGGCGGUCUGCUGGGCCGUUGCUGACGCUGAGGCGCGACAGCGUGGGGAGCAAACAGGAUUAGAUACCCUGGUAGUCCACGCCGUAAACGAUGGGUACUAGGCGUCGGGGGGAGCGACCCCUUCGGUGCCGUCGCUAACGCAGUAAGUACCCCGCCUGGGGAGUACGGCCGCAAGGCUGAAACUCAAAGGAAUUGACGGGGGCCC